rnacentral:rRNA from 1 species
AUUGAACGCUGGCGGCAGGCCUAACACAUGCAAGUCGAACGCGUGGCGGACGGGUGAGAAAUGUCUGUGAAACUGCCUGAUGGAGGGGGAUACCUCCUGGAAACGGUAGCUAAUACCGCAUACCAUCGGAUGUGCCAAGAUGGGAUUAGCUAGUAGGUGGGGUAAAGGCUCACCUAGGCGACGAUCCCUAGCUGGUCUGAGAGGGUGAACGGCCACACUGGAACUGAGACACGGUCCAGACUCCUACGGGAGGCAGCAGUAGGGAAUAUUGCACAAUGGGCGAAAGCCUGAUGGAGCCAUGCCGCGUGUAUGAAGAAGGCCUUCGGGUUGUAAAGUACUGUCAGCGGGGAGGCGUUACCCGCAGAAAAAGCACCGGCUAACUCCGUGCCAGCAGCCGCGGUAAUAC